rnacentral:rRNA from 1 species
GACGAACGCUGGCGGCGUGCCUAAUACAUGCAAGUAGAACGCAGUUGCGAACGGGUGAGUAACGCGUAGGUAACUGCCUCAUAGCGGGGGAUAACUAUUGGAAACGAUAGCUAAUACCGCAUACUGUGAGAUGGACCUGCGUUGUAUUAGCUAGUUGGGGAGGUAAAGGCUACCCAAGGCGACGAUACAUAGCCUAGCGGAGCGGGAGAUCGGCCACAAUGGGACUGAGGCACGGCCCAGACUCCUACGGGGGGGAGCCAGAGGGAAUUGUCGGCAAUGGACGGAAGGCUGACCGAGCAACGCCGCGUGAUGGAAGAAGGGUUUCGGAUCGUAAAGCUCUGUUGUUAGGGAAGCGGUAACUAAACAGAAAGGGACGGCUAACUACGUGCCAGCAGCCGCGGUAAUUC